rnacentral:tRNA from 1 species
GCCAGUGUGGUCCAAUGAUUUGGGUGCUGGACUGGGACUCUGGAGACCAGGGUUCAAAUCCUCAUUCAGCCA